rnacentral:rRNA from 1 species
AAAGUCCCCUUCGGGGGGCGAGUAGAGUGGCGCACGGGUGAGUAACACGUAGGUAAUCUACCUUUGGAUUGGGAAUAACCACCGGAAACGGUGGCUAAUACCGAAUAAUGCAGCGGCACCUAAUGGUGACAGUUGUUAAAGCGGGGGAUCGCAAGACCUCGCGUCUGAAGAGGAGCCUGCGGCAGAUUAGCUAGUUGGUAAGGUAACGGCUUACCAAGGCCAUGAUCUGUAGCCGGCCUGAGAGGGCGGUCGGCCACACUGACACUGACAUACGGGUCAGACUCCUACGGGAGGCAGCAGUCGGGAAUUUUGGGCAAUGGGCGAAAGCCUGACCCAGCAACGCCGCGUGAAGGAUGAAAUCCCUCGGGAUGUAAACUUCGCAAGAACGGGAAGAAUAAGCCGGUAUUAACACCACCGGUGAUGACGGUACUGUUUGUAAGCUCCGGCUAACUCCGUGCCAGCAGCCGCGGUAAUACGGGGGGAGCAAGCGUUGUUCGGAUUUACUGGGCGUAAAGGGCGCGUAGGCGGCCACCGCAAGUCGGUUGUGAAAUCUCCGGGCUUAACCCGGAAAGGUCAAUCGAUACUGCGGGGCUAGAGUGCAGAAGGGGCAACUGGAAUUCUCGGUGUAGCGGUGAAAUGCGUAGAUAUCGAGAGGAACACCUGCGGCGAAGGCGGGUUGCUGGGCUGACACUGACGCUGAAGCGCGAAAGCUAGGGGAGCGAACGGGAUUAGAUACCCCGGUAGUCCUAGCCUUAAACGAUGAAUGCUUGGUGUCUGGGGUUUUAUAGUCCCCGGGUGCCGUCGCUAACGCUUUAAGCAUUCCGCCUGGGGAGUACGGUCGCAAGACUG